rnacentral:rRNA from 1 species
AGCGAACGCUGGCGGCAGGCCUAACACAUGCAAGUCGAACGCACCUUCGGGUGAGUGGCAGACGGGUGAGUAACACGUGGGAACAUUCCUUUUAGUUCGGAAUAGCCCGGGGAAACCCGGAUUAAUACCGAAUACGCCCUAUGGGGGAAAGAUUUAUCGCUAAAAGAUUGGCCCGCGUUAGAUUAGGUAGUUGGUGGGGUAAUGGCCUACCAAGCCUACGAUCUAUAGCUGGUCUGAGAGGAUGAUCAGCCACACUGGAACUGAGACACGGUCCAGACUCCUACGGGAGGCAGCAGUGGGGAAUAUUGGACAAUGGAGGCAACUCUGAUCCAGCCAUGUCGCGUGAAUGAUGACGGCCUUCGGGUUGUAAAGUUCUUUUAGUGGGGAAAAUAAUGAUGGUACCCACAGAAAAAGCUCCGGCAAACUUCGUGCCAGCAGCCGCGGUAACAC